UAAAAGCAAAGCUGUUUAGGGACCGUCAAC
rnacentral:piRNA from 1 species